UCCCUCCCACUCUUCUUCGAAUUUUCAAGAAGAUCCGAUCGUUUUUCGGCGGCGAUGUCCAAGACUCCGGGUUCAAAGUCGCAGAGCUGAAAUUCGCAUUCAAGGUUAGAUCUGUCUUGGAGCCACUUCACGGAACGGCA